GACGUAGGAGGCGAGCGUUGUCCGGAUUCAUUGGGCGUAAAGCGCACGCAGGCGGUUUGGCAAGUCGGAUGUGAAAACCCGGAGCUCAACUCCGGACCUGCAUCCGAAACUGCCCGACUAGAGGUAGGUAGGGGAGAUCGGAAUUCCUGGUGUAGCGGUGAAAUGCGCUGAUAUCAGGAGGAACACCAGUGGCGAAGGCGGCUUGCUGGACGGUAACUGACGCUGAGACGCGAAAGCGUGGGGAGCAAACAGG
rnacentral:rRNA from 1 species